AAACUAACAAGGAUUCCCCUAGUAACGGCGAGUGAAGCGGGAAGAGCUCAAAUUUGAAAUCUGGUGGCCUCAGGUCAUCCGAGUUGUAAUCUAUAGAAGUGUUUUCCGUGCUGGCUCAUGUACAAGUCCCUUGGAACAGGGCGUCAUAGAGGGUGAGAAUCCCGUCCUUGACAUGAACUACCAGUGCUCUGUGAUACAUUUUCAACGAGUCGAGUUGUUUGGGAAUGCAGCUCAAAAUGGGUGGUAAAUUCCAUCUAAAGCUAAAUAUUGGCGAGAGACCGAUAGCGAACAAGUACCGUGAGGGAAAGAUGAAAAGCACUUUGGAAAGAGAGUUAAACAGUAUGUGAAAUUGUUAAAAGGGAAACGAUUGAAGUCAGUCGUGCUCUUUGGAUUCAGCCGGUUCUGCCGGUGUACUUCCUUUGAGUGGGGUCAACAUCAGUUUUGACCGCUGGAUAAAGGCUGGAGGAACGUAGCACCCCCGGGUGAACUUAUAGCCUCCUGUCACAUACAGUGGUUGGGACUGAGGAACGCAGCACGCCUUUAUGGCCGGGAUUCGUCCACGUACGUGCUUAGGAUGUUGACAUAAUGGCUUUAAACGAC
rnacentral:rRNA from 1 species